CCAGAUGGUUGGAUGAUCGCGGUCGGGGCUUUGCCGCCGGUCGAGGAAAGUCCGGGCUCCACGGAAACACGGUGCCGGGUAACACCCGGCGGGGGCGACCCCAGGGACAGUGCCACAGAAAACAGACCGCCCACAUGUCUAGGCAUGGGGGUCAGGGUGAAAAGGUGCGGUAAGAGCGCACCGCGGCCCCAGCAAUGACGGCCGGCAAGGUAAACCCCACCGGGAGCAAAACCGAAUAGGGAUGGCCGGGCAGAGCGGCUUGCCGCCGCUGCCAGAUGGGUUUUCGCAUCGCUAUCCGGGUUGGUUGCUAGAGGCAUUCGGCAACGGAUGCCCCAGAUGAAUGGUCAUCCAGGGGUUGGACUUUAUGGUCCUUUGAACCCCGGACAGAACCCGGCUUACAGACCAUCUGGCGGU
rnacentral:RNase_P_RNA from 1 species